GAUGAACGCUAGCGGCAGGCUUAACACAUGCAAGUCGAGGGGCAGCACGGGUAGCAAUACCUGGUGGCGACCGGCGCAAGGGUGCGUAACGCGUGAGCAACAUGCCCUAUACAGGGGGAUAAUCCAGGGAAACUUGGUCUAAUAUCCCAUAGUAUUUAGAGGAGGCAUCUUCUAUAAAUUAAAGCUUCGGUGGUAUAGGAUUGGCUCGCGUGACAUUAGCUAGAUGGUGAGGUAACGGCUCACCAUGGCAAUGAUGUCUAGGGGUUCUGAGAGGAAGGCCCCCACACUGGGACUGAGACACGGCCCAGACUCCUACGGGAGGCAGCAGUGAGGAAUAUUGGACAAUGGAUGGAAAUCUGAUCCAGCCAUGCCGCGUGCAGGAAGACAGCCCUAUGGGUUUAAACUGCUUUUAAUGGGAGCAAUAAGGUCUACGUGUAGACUGAUGAGAGUACCAUAUGAAUAAGC
rnacentral:rRNA from 1 species